rnacentral:rRNA from 1 species
AUUGAACGCUGGCGGCAUGCCUUACACAUGCAAGUCGAACGGUAGAGGGGCAACCCUCGAGAGUGGCGAACGGGUGAGUAAUGCAUCGGAACGUACCCAGUUGUGGGGGAUAGCUCGGCGAAAGCCGGAUUAAUACCGCAUACGCACUGAGGUGGAAAGCGGGGGACUCGCAAGGGCCUCGCGCAAUUGGAGCGGCCGAUGUCAGAUUAGCUAGUUGGUGGGGUAAAGGCCUACCAAGGCGACGAUCUGUAGCUGGUCUGAGAGGAUGACCAGCCACACUGGGACUGAGACACGGCCCAGACUCCUACGGGAGGCAGCAGUGGGGAAUUUUGGACAAUGGGCGCAAGCCUGAUCCAGCCAUGCCGCGUGCGGGAAGAAGGCCUUGGUGUAACCGCUUUGUCAGGAAGAAUACCUUUUGAGCCAAUACCUCGAAGGGAUGACGGUACCUGAAGAAUAAGCACCGGCUAACUACGUGCCAGCAGCCGCGGUAA